GUAGGAACAAAAGGGCGUAAGAAGAGAAAGCUUAAAGAUAUUUGGAACCUUCCUCUUGGGAAAAGGAUUGUGGUUAAGUGCAAUGAUUUAGAUCAGCCAAUUGGGAAAGAAGCUAAACAUCCUGGAAACUUUCUUGGCACGAUAGCUAGGAAUGGAUCCUUGUGUAGCUUGUCCUACAAGGAUUGGAGAUUGUUGAUAGGAGAAAAAGAUAAAGAAACUAAUAUAAGGAUAAACUUAAAGGCUAUACUUGAUCAAGUAAAGAUCAAGCAGAGUGGUGCCCCAGGUCUGGACUCGCAAUCAUCAAACAAUCCCGCAGAUAAGAACAAAGAAAGUUUGGUUCAAAAUGGCAAUGCAGGGCAAGUGGAGAAAAAUGCUGCUGCACAGAAUACCAAGAAAACAAACCCCCUACAUAGUGAGAAACAAAUAGUAACUGCGGUAUCAACAUCAGACAAG